rnacentral:lncRNA from 1 species
AAAGCAGCCCUAUAAUCAGCCAACUUGUACCUAAGAAGCCAUAUAUCACACAUCAGUCACUGGCAGAGAAAAUAUAAUCUCCAGUAACUAUAUAACAUUGUUGCUUAGAUUGUUAAACUUCUUUUGAACAUUCGAGAGUCCAAUCCAGGUAGAGCCAUUGCAGACGCAUCAGCAGCAUUUUCAAACAAAGGAGGCAGAUUAUAGUUGCCAUGGUGGCCUGUUAAUGGAUUGACGGAAUGACUACCUAAACCAUAAUUGGAAGGACUAUCCAUAUGCGGAUAUUGAGAAAGCACACCACCUCCACCAUUUAAUGUGGAUGUUUAAGAUCCUUUGACCUAUGAAUUAUUAGAGGCAAAGGCAUAUUUGUGCAGACCCUCUUGGAGGUUCGAAUGAACUGUUAAGGUCUGACCAUGCACUAUUUUCGGUAGCAAUGUCAGCAUAUGGUCCUUUUGCAGAGUGAGAUUUAGAAGAUAUACUAAACUGUGCAGAUUUUGAUCUUUUCAGAUAUGCAUGCUGCUUAGCACUAUUCUGACUACCUGUAAAAAUGUAAGAAUAUUAUUUGGUGACAAACAUCGUAUAAGAUUAUUAUUUGGUGACAAGCAUCGUGUCCAGUCUGAGAGAGAUCUAUAUCUAACAUACCAUUAAAAAGACUCAUGCUAGAUAAAGCAGCAAGCAGAUCCACAAACUCUGUGGUGUGAGGGACACCUCUUACACUUUAGAGCCUUACAUGAGAUUCCAACAGUCAAAAAACAAUCCUUUGAAUGCAGUUGCACAAGAAUUUAGUUUGUUAGACAUACAAUUGACUAAAAUUUAAGUUCCAAUAGUCAUUGUUCAAAAAAAACUCUUUAAACUAUCAAUAAAUUAAGUUGCUUCUAAAAGAGAUUCAGGUGGAAACCAAAUCCUUUGCUUAAAUCUUUACAUAUAUGAUUUCUGAAAGACUCCAGCAUCAAGCUUGCAGUUUUAUUUUGGAGAAAGAAGUUCUUGAAUCCACAUUGAACUAAUUUUUUUUCAAGUCACACGGGAAGAUGCAAAACAGUAACUGCAAGCCACAGUUUCAAAUGAAAUAUUCUAUCUAUAAAUUUAUGUUUUGUAAAAAAACAUUAGCAUGGAGGAGGCAAGGCAAAAAACAAAAGUUAGAACAUUACUCACCUUUGCAGCCUCCUAUAUGCAGAAUUUGAAGUUUGUAAGCUAAAAAAUUGGUGCAUUCUGCCAUUUUUAUUUCCACAACGUCAAAUCUAGAGAUACUGUAGCAAAGUGACAGGACAAUAUUGUUACCAAAUGAAGUAUCACACGCAUACAUCAAAUGUAGCUUAACACAUUUCAAUACUAAAAUGUAUAUGCAUGAAUCAGUUAUGGAAAAUUCUUCAAAACAAACCUCAAAUGAUUGAGAUGAAUAGCUACUGCACACAUUAUUCAUCUACCUGAAUUACACGACAGCCAUAUAGAUGGGUGGAGAGAUUUACAACUUGAUUAAAAAAGUAGAGACAAUAAAUUGUAUGUGUUCUUCUAGUACACAUUUUAUACACUUAUGGAUGACAUGAUUCCCAUUCUGAUCUCGUACACAGCGCAUGACAUGACCAUCUCCUCAACCAUUUUAAUCUACUGGUCCACAUCGACUACUUCUAUCGCCUGCAAGUGAACCAAAAUUUUAUUUUAGCAAAGGUUUGAACUCACAAAGGUCAGAUACCUGGAAAGCAGCCCUAUAAUCAGCCAACUUGUACCUAAGAAGCCAUAUAUCACACAUCAGUCACUGGCAGAGAAAAUAUAAUCUCCAGUAACUAUAUAACAUUGUUGCUUAGAUUGUUAAACUUCUUUUGAACAUUCGAGAGUCCAAUCCAGGUAGAGCCAUUGCAGACGCAUCAGCAGCAUUUUCAAACAAAGGAGGCAGAUUAUAGUUGCCAUGGUGGCCUGUUAAUGGAUUGACGGAAUGACUACCUAAACCAUAAUUGGAAGGACUAUCCAUAUGCGGAUAUUGAGAAAGCACACCACC